UUGGAGGGCAAGUCUGGUGCCCGCAGCCGCGGUAAUUCCAGCUCCAAUAGCGUAUAUUAAAGUUGUUGCAGUUAAAAAGCUCGUAGUUGAAUUUCGGGGUUAGUAGGUUGGUCAUGCCUCUGGUAUGUACUGGUCUCACUGAUUCCUCCUUCCUGAUGAACCGUAAUGCCAUUAAUUUGGUGUUGCGGGGAAUUUGGACUGUUACUUUGAAAAAAUUAGAGUGUUUAAAGCAAGCUAACGCUUGAAUACAUUAGCAUGGAAUAAUGAAAUAGGACGUUCGAUCCUAUUUUGUUGGUUUCUAGGAUUGACGUAAUGAUUAAUAGGGAUAGUUGGGGGCAUUAGUAUUCAAUUGUCAGAGGUGAAAUUCUUGGAUUUAUUGAAGACUAACUACUGCGAAAGCAUUUGCCAAGGAUGUUUUCAUUAAUCAAGAACGAAAGUUAGGGGAUCGAAGACGAUCAGAUACCGUCGUAGUCUUAACCAUAAACUAUGCCGACUAGGGAUCGGAUGAUGUUAAUUUUUUAAUGACUCAUUCGGCGCCUUACGGGAAAC
rnacentral:rRNA from 1 species